rnacentral:rRNA from 1 species
CAGUGCCGCGGUAAUACGAAGGGGGCUAGCGUUGCUCGGAAUGACUGGGCGUAAAGGGCGCGUAGGCGGUUUGCACAGCCAGAUGUGAAAUUCCUGGGCUUAACCUGGGGGCUGCAUUUGAUACGUGCGGACUUGAGUGUGAAAGAGGGUCGUGGAAUUCCCAGUGUAGAGGUGAAAUUCGUAGAUAUUGGGAAGAACACCGGUGGCGAAGGCGGCGACCUGGUUCAUGACUGACGCUGAGGCGCGAAAGCGUGGGGAGCAAACAGGAUUAGAUACCCCCGUAGUCCCUGUCUCUUAUACA